AGCAUAUCAAUAAGCGGAGGAAAGAACCAACAGGGAUUGCCCUAGUAACGGCGAGUGAAGCGGCAACAGCUCAAAUUUGAAAAUCUGGCUCUUUCAGAGUCCGAGUUGUAAUUUGCAGAGGGCGCUUUGGCGUUGGCAGCGGUCCAAGUUCUUUGGAACAGGACGUCACAGAGGGUGAGAAUCCCGUACGUGGUCGCUAGCCUUCGCCGUGUAAAGCCCCUUCGACGAGUCGAGUUGUUUGGGAAUGCAGCUCUAAAUGGGAGGUAAAUUUCUUCUAAAGCUAAAUACUGGCCAGAGACCGAUAGCGCACAAGUAGAGUGAUCGAAAGAUGAAAAGCACUUUGGAAAGAGAGUCAAAUAGCACGUGAAAUUGUUGAAAGGGAAGCGCUUGCAGCCAGACUUGCCUGUAGUUGCUUAUCUGGACUUUUGUCCAGUGCACUCUUCUGCGGGCAGGCCAGCAUCAGUUUGGGCGGUUGGAUAAAGGUCUCUGUCAUGUACCUCCUUUCGGGGAGGCCUUAUAGGGGAGACGACAUGCAACCAGCCUGGACUGAGGUCCGCGCAUCUGCUAGGAUGCUGGCGUAAUGGCUGUAAGCGGCCCGUCUUGAAACACGGACCAAGGAGUCUAACAUCUAUGCGAGUGUUUGGGUGUCAAGCCCAGACGCGUAAUGAAAGUGAACGGAGGUGGGAACCUUUUAGGUGCACCAUCGACCGAUCCUGAUGUCUUCGGAAGGAUUUGAGUAAGAGCAUAGCUGUUGGGACCCGAAAGAUGGUGAACUAUGCUUGAAUAGGGUGAAGCCAGAGGAAACUCUGGUGGAGGCUCGCAGCGGUUCUGACGUGCAAAUCGAUCGUCAAAUUUGGGCAUAGGGGCGAAAGACUAAUCGAACUAUCUAGUAGCUGGUUCCUGCCAAA
rnacentral:rRNA from 1 species